rnacentral:rRNA from 1 species
GCCAACGCUCAUACCGCGUUGAGAGCACUCGUUCUCGUCCGAUCACGAAAGUUAAGCAGCGCUGGGCACGGAUAGUACUUGGAUGGGUGACCGCCUGGGAACUCCGUGUGGUGUUGGCU